rnacentral:tRNA from 1 species
GGGCCACUAGCUCAGUUGGUUAGAGCGACGGACUCUUAAUCCGCAGGUCCUGGGUUCGAUUCCCAGGUGGCCCA